AGAGUUGUCCUGGCUCAGAACGAACGUUAGCGGUGUGGAUUAGGCAUGCAAGUCGUGCGCGAAAGCCUUCGGGCGAGUAAAGCGGCGAAAGGGUGAGUAACACGUAAUCAAUCUACCCCAGAGACCGGAAUAACUAUCGGAAACGAUAGCUAAUGCCGCCGGAUGGCCCAUUACCAAGGCAUCUUGGAAAUGGUAAACGGCGGCCCUGCCGCUGCUUUGGGAGGAGGUUGCGGACUAUUAGCUUGUUGGUGGGGUAACGGCCUACCAAGGCGAUGAUGGUUAGCGGGUCUGAGAGGAUGGUCCGUCACACUGGGACUGAGACACUGCCCAGACUCCUACGGGAGGCUGCAGUCGAGAAUCUUCCGCAAUGGGCGAAAGCCUGACGGAGCGACACCGCGUGCAGGAUGAAGGCCUUCGGGUUGUAAACUGCUGUCACGUUUCAGGAACCGUACAUUGUUAAUAGCAAUGUGCCUGACCAGGGCGAAAGGAAGCACCGGCUAACUCCGUGCCAGCAGCCGCGGUAAUACGGAGGGUGCAAACGUUGUUCGGAAUCACUGGGCAUAAAGAGCAUGUAGGCGGUCUAAUUAGUUAGCUGUGAAAGCCCUCGGCUCAACCGAGGAACUGCAACUGAAACUGGCGGGCUCGAGGAAGACAGGGGUGAGUGGAACUCCAGGUGGAACGGUGAAAUGUGUAGAUAUCUGGAGGAACACCGGUGGCGAAAGCGGCUCACUGGGUCUUCUCUGACGCUGAGGUGCGAAAGCUAGGGUAGCAAACGGGAUUAGAUACCCCGGUAGUCCUAGCCGUAAACGAUGGGCACUAGGUAGUGGGCUUUCCUAUGAAGCUCACUGCCGUAGCAAAUGUGUUAAGUGCCCCGCCUGGGGAGUACGCUCGCAAGGGUAAAACUCAAAGGAAUUGACGGGGGAUCACACAAGCGGUGGAGCAUGUGGUUUAAUUCGAAUCAACGCGAAGAACCUUACCUAGCCUUGACAUGUACGAAUUAGUCUCGUGAAAGCGAGAUGACAGCUCUUCGGAGUCGGAACGUACACAGGUGUUGCAUGGCUGUCGUCAGCUCGUGUCGUGAGAUGUUGGGUUAAGUCCCGUAACGAGCGAAACCCUUAUUGUUAGUUGCCAGCGGGUAAUGCCGGGGACUCUAGCGAGACUGCCGUUGUCAAAACGGAGGAAGGUGGGGACGACGUCAAGUCAUCAUGGCCCUUAUGGCUAGGGCGACACACGUGCUACAAUGGUCUACACAAAGGGUACCGAUAUCGCGGAUGGAGGCAAUCCCACAAAGCAGGCCCCAGUUCGGAUUGCAGGCUGCAAUUCGCCUGCAUGAAGCCGGAAUCGCUAGUAAUCGCGUAUCAGCCAUGACGCGGUGAAUAUGUUCCUGAGCCUUGUACACACUGCCCGUCAAGCCACGAAAGCGAGGAGUGCUCGAAGUCGUUAUGCCUAACCUUCGGGAGGGCGACGCCGAAAGCAAGCCUCGUGAUUGGGACUAAGUCGUAACAAGGUAACC
rnacentral:rRNA from 1 species